UGCGUAAUAGCUCACUGGUCGAGUGAUCCUGCGCCGAAGAUUUCCGGGGCUAAAACUUACUACCGAAGCUACGGCAUCAGUAAUGAUGGGUAGGGGAGCUUCCCAUACGGGUUGAAGCAUGAUCGUAAGGACAUGUGGACAGUAUGGGAGUGAGAAUGUUGGCAUGAGUAGCGAGAUGUGGGUGAGAAUCCCACAGGCCGUAAACCCAAGGUUUCCAGGGGAAGGUUCGUCCGCCCUGGGUUAGUCGGGACCUAAGCUGAGGCCGAAAGGCGUAGGUGAUGGACAACAGGUUGAUAUUCCUGUACUACCGAUAACCGUUUGAGAGAAGGGAUGACACAGUAGGAUAAGCUAAGCACACUGUUGGUUAUGUGUGCCCAAGCAUUGAGGCAGUCAAAGUAGGUAAAUCCGCUUUGAUAAUGCUGGGAUGUGAUGGGGAGCGAAAUUUAGUAGCGAAGUAGCUGAUUUCACACUGUCAAGAAAAGUCUCUAUCGAGGUUAAAGGUACCCGUACCGCAAACCGACAC
rnacentral:rRNA from 1 species